rnacentral:rRNA from 1 species
UACGUAGGGGGCAAGCGUUGUCCGGAAUUAUUGGGCGUAAAGAGCGUGUAGGCGGUCCGGUAAGUCAGCUGUGAAAGUCAAGGGCUCAACCCUUGAAAGCCGGUUGAUACUGUCGGGCUAGAGUCCGGAAGAGGCGAGUGGAAUUCCCGGUGUAGCGGUGAAAUGCGCAGAUAUCAGGAAGAACACCCGUGGCGAAGGCGGUUCUCUGGGACGGUACUGACGCUGAGGCGCGAAAGCCAGGGGAGCAAACGGG